UACGUAGGUGGCGAGCGUUAUCCGGAUUUACUGGGUGUAAAGGGCGAGUAGGCGGGCAUGCAAGUCAGAUGUGAAAUUUAUGGGCUCAACCCAUAACCUGCAUUUGAAACUGUGUGUCUUGAGUGAUGGAGAGGCAGGCGGAAUUCCGUGUGUAGCGGUGAAAUGCGUAGAUAUACGGAGGAACACCAGUGGCGAAGGCGGCCUGCUGGACAUUAACUGACGCUGAGGCGCGAAAGCGUGGGGAGCAAACAGG
rnacentral:rRNA from 1 species